UACGGAAGGGGCAAGCGUUGUUCGGAAUCAUUGGGCGUAAAGGGCGCGUAGGUGGUUCUGUAUGUCUACCGUGAAAGCAUACAGCUCAACUGUAUUUGUCGGUAGAAACUGCAGGACUUGAGGCUGGGAGGGGCUGGUGGAAAUUCCCUGUGUAGCGGUGAAAUGCGUAGAGAUGGGGAGAACACUCGUGGCGAAGGCGGCCAGCUAGACCAGUUCUGACACUGAGGCGCGACAGCGUGGGAGCAAACAGG
rnacentral:rRNA from 1 species